AACUUUCAACAACGGAUCUCUUGGCUCUUGCAUCGAUGAAGAACGUAGCGAAUUACGAUAUGUAAUGUGAAUUGCAGAAUUCAGUGAAUCAUCGAAUCUUUGAACGCACCUUGCGCUCUUUGGUAUUCCGAAGAGCAUGCCUGUUUGAGUGUCAU
rnacentral:rRNA from 1 species